AUCAUCACAUUGGCAGCACAUACACUAAAAUUGGAUUGAUACAGAGAGGAUCACCAUGGCCCCUGUGCAAGGAUGAUAUUUAAAUUUCUGAAGCAUUCCUUAUUUUU